rnacentral:rRNA from 1 species
UGAUGAACGCUAGCUACAGGCUUAACACAUGCAAGUCGAGGGGAAACGAUAGGGAAAGCUUGCUUUUCCUAGGCGUCGACCGGCGCACGGGUGAGUAACGCGUAUCCAACCUGCCCAUGUCUGGGGAAUAACCCGUCGAAAGGCGGACUAACUCCCCAUGGUCUCUGAUGAGGACAUCUGAAUUGGAGUAAAGCUUCGCGGACAUGGAUGGGGAUGCGUCUGAUUAGGUAGUAGGCGGGGUAACGGCCCACCUAGCCUACGAUCAGUAGGGGUUCUGAGAGGAAGGUCCCCCACAUUGGAACUGAGACACGGUCCAAACUCCUACGGGAGGCAGCAGUGAGGAAUAUUGGUCAAUGGACGAGAGUCUGAACCAGCCAAGUAGCGUGCAGGAUGACGGCCCUAUGGGUUGUAAACUGCUUUUGCGCGGGGAUAACACCCUCCACGUGCUGGAGGUCUGCAGGUACCGCGCGAAUAAGGACCGGCUAAUUCCGUGCCAGCAGCCGCGGUAAUACGGAAGGUCCGGGCGUUAUCCGGAUUUAUUGGGUUUAAAGGGAGCGUAGGCCGUGAGGUAAGCGUGUUGUGAAAUGUAGGCGCCCAACGUCUGCACUGCAGCGCGAACUGCCCCACUUGAGUGCGCGCAACGCC